UGGGGAAUUUUGCGCAAUGGACGAAAGUCUGACGCAGCGACGCCGCGUGUGCGAUGAAGGCCUUUGGGUCGUAAAGCACUGUCGACCGGGACGAAAACUCACGGACUAAUACUUCGUGAGUCUGACGGUACUGGUAAAGGAAGCACCGGCUAACUCUGUGCCAGCAGCCGCGGUAAUACAGAGGGUGCAAACGUUGCUCGGAAUUAUUGGGCGUAAAGCGCGUGUAGGCGGCUUGUUAAGUUGGUUGUGAAAACCCAUGGCUCAACCAUGGAAGUGCGUCCAAAACUGGCAAGCUAGAGUUCUGACGAGGAUGGCGGAAUUCCCAGUGUAGAGGUGAAAUUCGUAGAUAUUCGCAGGAACACCAGUGGCGAAGGCGACUUGCUGGACUUGUAGUGACGCUGAGACGCGAAAGCGUGGGGAGCAAACAGGAUUAGAUACCCAAGUAGUCCCUGAGCGGGCUGGCAAGGCGCAU
rnacentral:rRNA from 1 species